AUUGAACGCUGGCGGCAGGCCUAACACAUGCAAGUCGAACGGUAGCACAGGAGAGCUUGCUCUCUGGGUGACGAGUGGCGGACGGGUGAGUAAUGCAUGGGGAGCUGCCCAAUCGAGGGGGAUACCAGCUGGAAACGGCUGCUAAUACCGCAUACGCCCUGAGGGGGAAAGGUGGGGACCUUCGGGCCUACCGCGAUUGGAUGCACCCAUGUGGGAUUAGCUAGUUGGUGAGGUAACGGCUCACCAAGGCGACGAUCUCUAGCUGGUCUGAGAGGAUGACCAGCCACACUGGAACUGAGACACGGUCCAGACUCCUACGGGAGGCAGCAGUGGGGAAUAUUGCACAAUGGGGGAAACCCUGAUGCAGCCAUGCCGCGUGUGUGAAGAAGGCCUUC
rnacentral:rRNA from 1 species